UCCUUUUUGGUUCAUACUGGGGGAUGAUGAGUCCGUGGGUUCGCACGCGUUAUGCGUGAUACGUGCCGCGCCCUACCUUGUUACGACGACUGGCACGUAGCCCUUCUGAC
rnacentral:snoRNA from 1 species